UGUCGAUGAGGGGGGUGGCGCAGCGCGACGAGAGAAGCGUAACGCAGACAAAUCACCGAGUCUUCGAA
rnacentral:rRNA from 1 species